rnacentral:rRNA from 1 species
UACGUAGGGUGCGAGCGUUAAUCGGAAUUACUGGGCGUAAAGCGUGCGCAGGCGGUUUUGUAAGUCAGAUGUGAAAUCCCCGGGCUUAACCUGGGAACUGCAUUUGUGACUGCAUGGCUAGAGUACGGUAGAGGGGGAUGGAAUUCCGCGUGUAGCAGUGAAAUGCGUAGAUAUGCGGAGGAACACCGAUGGCGAAGGCAAUCCCCUGGACCUGUACUGACGCUCAUGCACGAAAGCGUGGGGAGCAAACAGG